rnacentral:rRNA from 1 species
AUUGAACGCUGGCGGAAUGCUUUACACAUGCAAGUCGAGCGGCAGCACAGGGGCAACCCUGGUGGCGAGCGGCGAACGGGUGAGUAAUACAUCGGAACAUGCCCAGUCGUGAGGGAUAACACUUCGAAAGAAGUGCUAAUACCGCAUACGUCCUGAGGGAGAAAGCGGGGGAUCUUCGGACCUCGCGCGAUUGGAGUGGCCGAUGUCAGAUUAGCUAGUUGGUGGGGUAAAGGCCUACCAAGGCAACGAUCUGUAGCUGGUCUGAGAGGAUGAUCAGCCACACUGGGACUGAGACACGGCCCAGACUCCUACGGGAGGCAGCAGUGGGGAAUUUUGGACAAUGGGGGCAACCCUGAUCCAGCCAUUCCGCGUGAGUGAAGAAGGCCUUCGGGUUGUAAAGCUCUUUCGGCAGGAACGAAACGGCGAGCUCUAACAUAGCUUGCUAAUGACGGUACCUGAAGAAGAAGCACCGGCUAACUACGUGCCAGCCGCCGCCGUAAGAC